UACCGAGGGGGCUAGCGUUAUUCGGAAUUAUUGGGCGUAAAGGGCGCGUAGGCGGCCAUGCGUGUCUUCCGUGAAAUCCCUCGGCUUAACUGAGGACGUGCGGAAGAAACUGCAAGGCUCGAGUCCGGGAGAGGGGGGUGGAAUUCCCAGUGUAGCGGUGAAAUGCGUAGAUAUUGGGAGGAACACCGGUGGCGAAGGCGGCCCCCUGGACCGGUACUGACGCUGAGGCGCGAAAGCGUGGGUAGCAAACGGG
rnacentral:rRNA from 1 species